CAAGUCUGGCCCAGGUAAGGCCGUAGCAGGCCGCCUGGAAGCGAGUGUUGCGUGAGGCGGCGGCAACGCCGAACACGAAGCGUACACAGCUGUUGCGUGGGGUGUCGGAUUGAGCCACGAAAUGAUGAAAUCGCGGGAGCGGAGACUGUCUUCAUUUGUGGUAAGUAAAACUUUCGAGAACGUAAGCGCGGCAUCACCAUAUAAGCUUAUCUCAAGUUGAUCGGAUUCUUAGGAUC
rfam:Alphaproteobacteria bacterium 13_2_20CM_2_64_7 13_2_20cm_2_scaffold_2096, whole genome shotgun sequence.